GACAGUGAAUCUGUUCCAGGGGCCCGUACAAAGAGCCUGCUCCUCUGUUCUUGCCUCAGUGCUGACAGGAGAAUGGAAAGUGAAACUUUUCAAAACCAAUGGACUUGCACCCCAGCACUCAGAGUUUUUCAGCUUUCAGACACAGGCUUCACAUUAAGGACUUAAACAUUCUGAGCAGCAAAAAAAGAAGGGUAGCAGGGGAACAAGUGAUCUUAAUGAAGUGACAGAGUCAGAUCCUGAGACUGUGUUGAAUCAAUAUACAACUCACAGCAGUGAAUGAACCAAGAGAAGAAGACAGUUCUCCAAAUCUUAAAUUGUUUCAUAUAUUCCUGUGCUGAUUUCAUUGCUCAUAAGACAGGAAAUGUAAUAAAAAGUAUUUUAAAGGGGUACUUUAAAGCUGAUAGGUAUCUUGUGGGCUGGUAUCUUUUCCCAGGCUCACUUAGUUCUAUAAAACUAUGGCAGAAACCUCAAA